rnacentral:rRNA from 1 species
GCCUACAUGAAGCUGGAGUUACUCGUAAUCGCAGAUCAGAAUGCUGCGGUGAAUGCGUUCCCGGGUCUUGUACACACCGCCCGUCACACCACGGGAGUUGGAGACGCCCGAAGCCGAUUAUCUAACCGUUUGGAAGAAGUCGUCGAAGGUGGAAUCAAUAACUGGGGUGAAGUCGUAACAAGGUAGCCGUAUCGGAAGGUGCGGCUGGAUCACCUCCUUUCUAAGGAGA